UGGUUUAGGUUUUCAUAGUUAGGAUUCUUGUGUAUAAAUAGCAGAAUGUACAAAGUAUUUUUACAUUGAGAAAUAUACUAGAAAACUAUCUCCAAAACCUCUAAUUUCAUCACACAAUUUCUUAGGCAUCCCCAAUUCCCCAUGCAUAGAACACUAGAAGUCACAGAAAUAUCUCAUAUUCACAAAUUUCAAACAAUAUCCUAGUUCUUUAAAGGCCACAAGUAGA
rnacentral:misc_RNA from 1 species